CGGCAACAGCUCAAAUUUGAAAUCUGGCUUCGGCCCGAGUUGUAAUUUGCAGAGGAAGAUUCUGGCGACGCGCCGUCCGAGUCCCCUGGAACGGGGCGCCAUAGAGGGUGAGAGCCCCGUAUGGACGGAUGUCUAGCCUGUGUGAAUCUCCUUCGAC
rnacentral:rRNA from 1 species